rnacentral:rRNA from 1 species
AUUGAACGCUGGCGGCAUGCCUAACACAUGCAAGUCGAACGGCAGCACGGCAGUAGCAAUACUGUGGGUGGCGAGUGGCGGACGGGUGAGGAAUACGUCGGAAUCUGCCCAGUCGUGGGGGAUAACUAGCCGAAAGGUUAGCUAAUACCGCAUACGACCGAGAGGUGAAAGCGGGGGACCGCAAGGCCUCGCGCGAUUGGAUGAGCCGACGUCGGAUUAGCUAGUUGGAGGGGUAAAGGCCACCAAGGCGACGAUCCGUAGCUGGUCUGAGAGGAUGAUCAGCCACACUGGAACUGAGACACGGUCCAGACUCCUACGGGAGGCAGCAGUGGGGAAUAUUGGACAAUGGGCGCAAGCCUGAUCCAGCAAUGCCGCGUGUGUGAAGAAGGCCUCGGUUGUAA